rnacentral:rRNA from 1 species
CAGUAGCCGCGGUAAUACGAAGGGGGCUAGCGUUGCUCGGAAUUACUGGGCGUAAAGGGAGCGUAGGCGGACAUUUAAGUCAGGGGUGAAAUCCCAGAGCUCAACUCUGGAACUGCCUUUGAUACUGGGUGUCUUGAGUGUGAUAGAGGUAUGUGGAACUCCGAGUGUAGAGGUGAAAUUCGUAGAUAUUCGGAAGAACACCAGUGGCGAAGGCGACAUACUGGAUCAUUACUGACGCUGAGGCUCGAAAGCGUGGGGAGCAAACAGGAUUAGAUACCCCAGUAGUCCCUGUCUCUUAUAC